rnacentral:rRNA from 1 species
AGUGAACGCUGGCGGUAGGCUUAACACAUGCAAGUCGAACGGCAGCACAGUAAGAGCUUGCUCUUACGGGUGGCGAGUGGCGGACGGGUGAGGAAUACAUCGGAAUCUACUUUUUCGUGGGGGAUAACGUAGGGAAACUUACGCUAAUACCGCAUAAGACCUACGGGUGAAAGCAGGGGAUCUUCGGACCUUGCGCGAUUGAAUGAGCCGAUGUCGGAUUAGUUAGUUGGCGGGGUAAAGGCCCACCAAGGCGACGAUCCGUAGCUGGUCUGAGAGGAUGAUCAGCCACACUGGAACUGAGACACGGUCCAGACUCCUACGGGAGGCAGCAGUGGGGAAUAUUGGACAAUGGGCGCAAGCCUGAUCCAGCCAUACCGCGUGGGUGAAGAAGGCCUUCGGGUUGUAAAGCCCUUUUGUUGGGAAAGAAAAGCAGCAGGUUAAUACCCCGCUGUUCUGACGGUACCCAAAGAAUAAGCACCGGCUAACUUCGUG